rnacentral:rRNA from 1 species
UAGUGAUUAGAGUUUGAUCAUGGCUCAGAUUGAACGCGGGCGGCAUGCCUUUACACAUGCAAGUCGAACGGCAGCACGGGGGCAACCCUGGUGGCGAGUGGCGAACGGGUGAGUAAUACAUCGGAACGUGUCCUGGAGUGGGGGAUAGCCCGGCGAAAGCCGGAUUAAUACCGCAUACGCUCUAAGGAGGAAAGGGGGGGAUCUUUCGAGACCUCUCGCUCAAGGGGCGGCCGAUGGCAGAUUAGCUAGUUGGUGGGGUAAAGGCCUACCAAGGCGACGAUCUGUAGCUGGUCUGAGAGGACGACCAGCCACACUGGGACUGAGACACGGCCCAGACUCCUACGGGAGGCAGCAGUGGGGAAUUUUGGACAAUGGGCGCAAGCCUGAUCCAGCAAUGCCGCGUGUGUGAAGAAGGCCUUCGGGUUGUAAAGCACUUUUGUCCGGAAAGAAAACUUUUGCCCUAAUACGGUGAGAGGAUGACGGUACCGGAAGAAUAAGCACCGGCUAACUACGUGCCAGCAGCCGCGGUAAUACGUAGGGUGCGAGCGUUAAUCGGAAUUACUGGGCGUAAAGCGUGCGCAGGCGGUCUGUUAAGACAGAUGUGAAAUCCCCGGGCUUAACCUGGGAACUGCAUUUGUGACUGGCAGGCUAGAGUAUGGCAGAGGGGGGUAGAAUUCCACGUGUAGCAGUGAAAUG